AAAAAGGCAAACCCUGAGUUUCCGCUCUCACGUUUGACUGUCCGUCUUAUAUGAAAUAUUUUUAUAAUUAGUAUUUUUAUUGUUGUUAGAUGAUAAAAUAUAAUUAAUAUUUUAUGCGUGACUUAUCUUUUUAAUUUUUUUCAUAAUUUUUUUAAAUAAGACGGACGGUCAAACGUUGAACACGGAAAUCAGGGUUUAUCUUUUU
rfam:Oryza sativa Japonica Group DNA, chromosome 5, cultivar: Nipponbare, complete sequence.